AUUGAACGCUGGCGGCAGGCCUAACACAUGCAAGUCGGACGGUAGCACAGGGGAGCUUGCUCCUCGGGUGACGAGUGGCGGACGGGUGAGUAAUGUCUGGGGAUCUGCCCGAUAGAGGGGGAUAACCACUGGAAACGGUGGCUAAUACCGCAUAAUGUCGCAAGACCAAAGAGGGGGACCUUCGGGCCUCUCACUAUCGGAUGAACCCAGAUGGGAUUAGCUAGUAGGCGGGGUAACGGCCCACCUAGGCGACGAUCCCUAGCUGGUCUGAGAGGAUGACCAGCCACACUGGAACUGAGACACGGUCCAGACUCCUACGGGAGGCAGCAGUGGGGAAUAUUGCACAAUGGGCGCAAGCCUGAUGCAGCCAUGCCGCGUGUAUGAAGAAGGCCUUCGGGUUGUAAAGUACUUUCAGCGGGGGGGAAGGCGAUGUGGUUAAUAACCGCGUCGAUUGACGUUACCCGCAGAAGAAGCACCGGCUAACUCCGUGCCAGCAGCCGCCGCGG
rnacentral:rRNA from 1 species